GAUUAGAGUUUGAUCAUGGCUCAGGAUGAACGCCGGCGGUGUGCCUAAUACAUGCAAGUCGUACGCACUGGCCCAACUGAUUGAUGGUGCUUGCACCUGAUUGACGAUGGAUCACCAGUGAGUGGCGGACGGGUGAGUAACACGUAGGUAACCUGCCCCGGAGCGGGGGAUAACAUUUGGAAACAGAUGCUAAUACCGCAUAACAACAAAAGCCGCAUGGUUUUUGUUUGAAAGAUGGCUUUGGCUAUCACUCUGGGAUGGACCUGCGGUGCAUUAGCUAGUUGGUAAGGUAACGGCUUACCAAGGCGAUGAUGCAUAGCCGAGUUGAGAGACUGAUCGGCCACAAUGGAACUGAGACACGGUCCAUACUCCUACGGGAGGCAGCAGUAGGGAAUCUUCCACAAUGGGCGCAAGCUGAUGGAGCAACACCGCGUGAGUGAAGAAGGGUUUCGGCUCGUAAAGCUCUGUUGUUGGANAAGAACNUGCGUGAGAGUWACUGUUCACGCAUACGGUAUCCAACCAGA
rnacentral:rRNA from 1 species